UGUAGCGCAAUAGGUAGCGCGUUGGACUUCUAAUCCAAAAGUCGUGGGUUCAAGCCCCUCCUAG